rnacentral:tRNA from 1 species
GGACAUUGGUGCAGUGGUAGCACAAUGGCAAUAAAUCCAGAGGUGAGGAGAUAAGCUGAGAGGCCAGCCUUUCACUAGGCAGGGUACUCUGAGCAUUGAGACUUGACCUUCAGUGAUGCUCCGCUGCGUGUGUCAGCCGCUGGAUUCAAGGCCAAAGGUCCUAGGUUCGAAUCCUAGUUUCUCCC